rnacentral:rRNA from 1 species
UGGGGAAUUUUGGACAAUGGGCGAAAGCCUGAUCCAGCAAUGCCGCGUGUGUGAAGAAGGCCUUCGGGUUGUAAAGCACUUUUGUCCGGAAAGAAAUCCUUGGCUCUAAUACAGUCGGGGGAUGACGGUACCGGAAGAAUAAGCACCGGCUAACUACGUGCCAGCAGCCGCGGUAAUACGUAGGGUGCAAGCGUUAAUCGGAAUUACUGGGCGUAAAGCGUGCGCAGGCGGUUUGCUAAGACCGAUGUGAAAUCCCCGGGCUCAACCUGGGAACUGCAUUGGUGACUGGCAGGCUAGAGUAUGGCAGAGGGGGGUAGAAUUCCACGUGUAGCAGUGAAAUGCGUAGAGAUGUGGAGGAAUACCGAUGGCGAAGGCAGCCCCCUGGGCCAAUACUGACGCUCAUGCACGAAAGCGUGGGGAGCAAACAGGAUUAGAUACCCUGGUAGUCCACGCCCUAAACGAUGUCAACUAGUUGUUGGGGAUUCAUUUCCUUAGUAACGUAGCUAACGCGUGAAGUUGACCGCCUGGGGGAGUACGGUCGCAAGAUUAAAACUUAAAUGAAUUGACGGGGUCAUAGCUGUUUCC